rnacentral:rRNA from 1 species
CCCUUAGAUGUUCUGGGCCGCACGCGCGCUACACUGAUGCAUGGAGCAAGUGAACUUUUUCCUUAUCCGUAAGGUUUGGGUAAUCUUGUGAAACUGCAUACGUGUUGGGGCUUGAUGCUUGCAAUUAUUUAUCAUAAACGAGGAAUCCCUAGUAAUCGCAAGUCAUCAGCUUGCAAUGAUUACGUCCCUGCCCUUUGUACACACCGCCCGUCGCUCCUACCGAUUGAAUGUUCCGGUGAGCACUCCGGAGCCGUGGUCUUGUUCAGGGAAACCUGAACUUGGCCAAUUGGUGAAGUUGUGCAAACCAUAACAUUUAGAGGAAGGAGAAGUCGUAACA